rnacentral:rRNA from 1 species
UCAAGCUACAAAGGGCGCAAGGAGAAUGCCUUGGCACUGGGAGCCGAUGAAAGACGUGGUAAGCUGCGAUAAGCUUCGGGGAGGAGCAAACAUCCUUUGAUCCGGAGAUUUCUGAAUGAGGAAACUCACCAGAGUUCAUACUCUGGUAUCCUGUACUGAAUCCAUAGGUACAGGAGGGGAACCGCCUGAACUGAAACAUCUAAGUAGGGCGAGGAAGAGACAUCAAACGAGAUUCCGUUAGUAGUGGCGAGCGAACGCGGAAGAGGGCAAACCGGAAGGAGAAAUCCUUCCGGGGUAUGGACCGCAUUUAGGACUUUAGCUGUUAAUCGAAUGGCAUGGGAAGGCCAACCAAAGAGUGUGAGAGUCACGUAGAUGAAAACGGCGAGAGCUGCGCGAGUUCCAGAGUACGGCCAGACACGUGAAACCUGGUCGGAAGAUGGGGGGACCACCCUCCAACCCUAAAUACUACCCAGUGACCGAUAGCGUAUAGUACUGUGAAGGAAAGGUGAAAAGGACCCCGGGAGGGGAGUGAAAUAGAACCUGAAACCUUGUGCCUACAAGCACAUAGAGCACAUCAACGUGUGAUAUGGUACUUUUUGUAGAACGGUCCGGCGAGCGAUUGUAUGUUGCGAGCUUAAGGUCUUAAGGACUGGAGGCGUAGCGAGAGCGAGUCUGAAGAGGGCGUUCAGUAACAUGCAAUGGGCCCGAAACCGGGUGACCUACCCAUGAUCAGGCUGAAGUGAAAGUAAAAUUUCAUGGAGGGCCGAACCGACCUCCGUUGAAAAGGCGGCGGAUGAAUUGUGGGUAGCGGAGAAAUUCCAAUCGAACUCGGAGAUAGCUGGUUCUCCCCGAAAUAGCUUUAGGGCUAGCCUCAUAUUAGAUACCCGGAGGUAAAGCACUGAAUGGCCUAGCGCCCGAGAGGGUAGCGAAGCCUAUCAAACUAAGAAUGCCGGAGUAUUGAUGUAUGGGAGUCAGACAGUGUGAGAUAAAUCUCAUUGUCAAAAGGGAAACAGCCCAGAUCUACAGCUAAGGUCCCAAAUUGUAUCUAAGUGGAAAACGAUGUGGAAAUACGCAGACAACCAGGAUGUUGGCUCAGAAGCAGCCACUCAUUUAAAGAGUGCGUAAUAGCUCACUGGUCGAGCGUCUCUGCGCGGAAAAUUUAACGGGGCUAAGAUACAAACCGAAGCUUAGGCUGCACGUAAGUGCGGGGUAGGGGAGCGUUGUGUAAGCGGAGAAACAGUAGCGUAAGCGGCUGUGGAGUUUACAGAAGUGAGAAUGCCGGAAUGAGUAGCGCGAAUGUGGUGAGAAUCCACAUGGCCGGAAACCUCAGGUUUUUGGAGGAAGGUUCGUCCGCUCCAAGUUAGGCGGGAGCUAAGGUCAGGCCGAAAGGCGUAGCCGAUGCACAGACGGUAGAGAUUCCGUCCCCACCGAAAGAUUUAAGCACAGGGACACUUUUAGAAGGUCGGAGCCAGGUGUUGGUUCUGGUAGUGAUCGAGGGAAAUAUAGUACCGAAGUCCGGCUGGAAGAGAGGCGAGAAAAGCUGUGUGUAUAUCUAAGGUGCCCGUACCGCAAACCGACACAGGUAGGUAGGAAGAAGAUUCUAAGGCCAACGGGAGAAGGGUUGUUAAGGAACUCGGCAAGUUGACCCCGUAACUUCGGAAUAAGGGGUGCUCACGAGAGUGAGCCGCAGAGAAUAGGCCCAGGCAACUGUUUACCAAAAACACAGGUUUGUGCUAAAUCGAAAGAUGACGUAUACGAGCUGACGCCUGCCCGGUGCUGGAAGGUUAAAAGGAGAUGUGCAAGCAUUGAAUUGAAGCCCCAGUGAACGGCGGCCGUAACUAUAACGGUCCUAAGGUAGCGAAAUUCCUUGUCAGGUAAGUUCUGACCCGCAUGAAAGGCGUAAUGAUCUGGGCACUGUCUCAACAGCCCGCCCGGCGAAAUUGUAGUACCGGUGAAGAUGCCGGUUACCCGCGACAAGACGGAAAGACCCCAUGGAGCUUUACUGUAGCUUAAUAUUGGAUUUUGAUAUUUCAUGUACAGAAUAUACAAUAGGCUACGAUACGGCCAUGAAUACAGCAAUGGAAAUGGUUGAUAAGCUCAGAGAUACCGCUCAGUCUCACGACAGAUGCAGCGUAGUUGAGGUUAUGGGCAGGGGAGCAGGCUUUAUUGCCGUUAAUACCGGCGUGGCUUGCGGAGCUACGUAUGUUAUUACAAGCGAGGUUCCUUAUGAUCUUGACGUAAUCGCAAAGAAAAUGCUUGAAUCCAGAAAAACAGGUAAGCAGCAUUUUAUUAUAAUAGUUUCCGAGGGCGUUGGUCAUUCGGAUGAAAUUGCAAGAACUCUUCAGGAAAAGACCGGAAUUGAAGCCAGAACUACUAUUCUCGGUCAUGUUCAGAGGGGCGGUUCUCCUACUGUUAGAGACAGAGUUGUUGCAAGUCAAAUGGGUUAUUAUGCAGUUAAUCUGCUCUCACAGGGUAUUGGAAACAGAGUUGUCGGAAUGCAAAAUAAUAAAAUCGUGGAUUAUGACAUUCAGGAAGCUCUUUCCAUGAAAAAACCUUUUGAGGAAGAUUUAUAUCAUAUAGCAGAUGAAAUUGCAUUUUAAUAAUUAUACGAAUAUAGGCAUCAGAGUAGAAAACUAUGCAUAAAGUGGCCGACAGACGGGGAGUUGCUGUUGGAACGAAAAGCACAAAAAGCUUGCGGUA